rnacentral:rRNA from 1 species
AACGUAGGUGGCAAGCGUUAUCCGGAUUUACUGGGCGUAAAGGGUGUGCAGGCGGGGUUGCAAGUGGUGUAUGAAAUCUCCCGGCUUAACCGGGAGGGGUUAUGCCAGACUGCAAUUCUAGAGGACGAGAGAGGGGGGUGGAAUUCCGGGUGUAGUGGUGAAAUGCGUAGAUAUCGAGAGGAACACCUGCGGCGAAGGCGGGUAGCUGGGCCGACACGUGACGCUGAGGCGCGAAAGCCAGGGGAGCGAACGGG